GGGGGCGAAACGGCUUCGACGGGGGUCAGGAAGUGUAUGUUGCAUGCCGAGGUCCUGUGUGCUCGUAAAACACGUGGGAAUAAACACAAACGCAGACAAUUACAACUACGCCUUAGCCGCUUAAGCCGGCUAACGUCUGACCGGAUCCUCCUGCAAAUCCGGAUCGGGCGUCGACGAGCAGGAUAACCAACCCCUCAGGCCUGGCGGACGGGUUGGUGAAAUUCAACCAGGAUAGCUUUGGCGCCACCCUGCCCGAGGGGUCCCGCCAUCGCGAAUAUCUAAUCUCGGGAUAAGCAUGUAGACGCCUGCAUGGAUUAUUCUCGGACGCGGGUUCAACUCCCGCCGCCUCCACCA
rnacentral:tmRNA from 1 species